GACGAACGCUGGCGGCGUGCUUAACACAUGCAAGUCGAACGGAAAGGCCUGCUUUCCCUUGUGGAUUGCGGGUACUCGAGUGGCGAACGGGUGAGUAACACGUGAGUGAUCUGCCCCCAACUUGGGUAUAAGCCUGGGAAACUGGGUCUAAUUCCCGAUAGGACUGCAGGGUGGUGCCUGUGGUGGAAAACGAUUUUCUAGUGGUUGGGGAUGAGCUCGCGGCCUAUCAGCUUGUUGGUGGGGUAAUGGCCUACCAAGGCGGCGACGGGUAGCCGGCCUGAGAGGGUGGACGGGCACAGUGGGACUGAGAUACGACCCAGGCUCCGACGGGAGGCAGCAGUGGGGAAUAUUGGACAAUGUGCGGAAGCCUGAUGCAGCGACGCCGCGUGGGGGAUGACGGCCUUCGGGUUGUAAACUCCUUUCGACCGCGAGGAAGCCACCUGGUUGGAAGGGUGGUGACGGUAGUGGUAGAAGAAGCACCGGCUAACUACGUG
rnacentral:rRNA from 1 species